CAUGCAGGCGGUUACAUAAGUCAGGUGUGAAAUCCCCGCGCUUAACGUGGGCAUUGCAUUUGAAACUAUGUAGCUAGAGUAUGGGAGAGGAUGGUAGAAUUCCAGGUGUAGCGGUGAAAUGCGUAGAGAUCUGGAGGAAUACCGAUGGCGAAGGCAGCCAUCUGGCCUAAUACUGACGCUGAGGAGCGAAAGCGUGGGGAGCAAACAGGAUUAGAUACCCGUGUA
rnacentral:rRNA from 1 species